UUCUGCACGAGGCGUGGGGCCCACAGCCCCCAGCUGGGCCCCGGCCGGGAUGGGCGGGCGGGGGGCGGAGCACAGCGCUGAGCGGGGCAGCAGAAAAGGGGCGGGGAGGAGCGCUUAGGCUCAGGCGGGCUGAGGGACCGUGGCAGAACCUGCGUGCUAGGUGGGCUGCUGGCAAGUCUGGGCGAAGGGAAACGGAGACUGCUAUUCCAGGGGCGCGAGAAGGCGAGUGGAGUCCAGGGUUCGGACCGCAGCUACCUCCUCCUGCAACGGGAGACAGUGCCCUGGCGGGCGCACCGGCGGCAGCGAUGACCCUGUGAGCAGGGAAAAAGAGACUCGAUUUUCUUGGAUUUGCUGCAAUUCCAUAAACCAAAUCGGGCUUUCGAGGCGUUAAAGUAAAUUGCCGCAUUCUUAAUUACCCGAUUACCAGAGUGAUGAAGUUGUCUUCUGAUUUUAAACGACAGAUCUUGAAAUGGCUGUGGCAGUGUAGAAGCCAAAACGGGAGCUUCCAGAAGCAGUUUCUGAAAAAUAAGCGUUGAAUGUCCAUGAGUAAGCAAGCACAGGAAUCUGAAAAACCACAGAGACAGGGUUUGCUUUUGUUCAGGCGCACACCAAUACCUCGUCUCAAGUGAACUCCUGACCUCAAGCAAUCCUCCCCACCUCAGCCUCCCAAAGUGCUGGGAUUAUAGGUAUGAGCCACUGUGCACAGCCAAUAUUGAAUUAUUUUAUAGGAAGUACCACAGUGUGAUAGGUAGAAUAAUGGCCCUCUGCUACGAUUUGGAUGUGGUUUGUCCCCACCAAAGUUGCUAUUAAAAUUUGAUCUUCAGUGUGGCAGGGAGGUGGGGCCUAGUGGGAAGUGUUUGGGUCAUGGCUGAGGGCCUCUCGUGAAUGGUUUGGUGCUGUUCUCACAGUAGUAAGUUUUUGCUCUUGUGAGACUUGAUUACUUCUCCCGGGAAUGGAUUAGUUCUCGCGGGAGUGGGUUGCACAGCCAGGACUCUACUCAGGUUUUCCCUGCUUUGCCAAGUUUUCCCUUCUGUUUUGACUUUCUCCGCCAUGUUGUGACACAGCACCAAAGUCCUCACCAGGAGCCAGGGCAAUGCCAUUGAAUUUCUCAGCAUAUGAACCUCUUCUUUAUAAAUUAUCCAGCCUUAGGUAUUCUUUUGUAGCAACACAAAAUAGGCUAAGACAGUCUCCAAAGAUGUCUGUACUAUCCUAAUCCUUGGAAUCUGUGAACAUGUUAAUAUGCUAAGAGGGGAUUAAGGUUUGCAAAUGGAAUUAAGAUUGCCACUCAGCUGAUUUUAAAAUAGUUUAUCCUGGAUUAUCCAGGUGAAUCACGAGGGUCCUUAAAAGUGGUCUUUGCUGUAGAAUUUUCUUAGAGCUGAGUCCAUGGACUGCUGAGGGUCUUAAAUUGCCUUGAAUAUUAUAUUCGGUUAGUGCUUCAUCGAUGAAUUCCUUUCUCUAAUAGAUAAAAUUAUAUCAGUUUUCUGUGGUAUUAUCUGUAAUGAAAGAAAGGUAUCUUUAUUGGAUGUUUAUGAGUUAGGUGCUUUAAUGUAUUACCUUAUUUGAUGUGCUUAAAUAGCUGAAGAAGUAGAUAGUAUUAAAUUCUUCAUGGAAGAGGAAACAGGUCCAGAGUGGUUAACUUAAACAGGGUCAUGUUGCUCAGAAGUGAUGACCCUAAGAUUUUAUUGCAUAUAUAGAGCAAAGUUCUGAGUUGUGGCAUUUUCACUUUUGCAAGCAUGCUCAUGGUUCAUACUGUCUCAUGCUGUAUUUUGAAAAGUCUUGCUUUGAAUUUUGAAAGAAGAUAGAUAAAUUUGUAUACUAUUGAAGCAAUAUGACACUAACACUUCUGGUUAAUUUUUGUCCUCUUCUCUAAUUUCAACAGAAUCUUGGAAUAUUUUUUGGUAUAUAUUUCCUUUCAGUCUUUUUCCCCCUGUGCAUAUGUAUGUUGCAGUUUCCCAUAGCUGUUAUUAUAGUCAUAUUAUAUUUCUCAUUUUACAUUAUGUAUUUUUUCAUGUUAUUGUGUAUCUUUGUGUAAUUAAUAUCUUUAAUAGACAAUAGGUUAUUUCUAAGAUUUCUUUUUUAUUAUUAAAAGUAAUACUGAAAGAAGAGUUUCCUAUAUGGGGAUGUGCCUUUUAGCAGAGACCAGGAAGAGGGCCUGAUCCAACCAUGCAACUCAGUUAAAACUUCUGCUUAAGAGGUGGUUGGUGUCUUAUUUGCUCACAUUUCAUUAGUCAAAGUGAGUUACAGGGCCAAAUCCUGAAAAUGGGAAGGGGUGCAUAAUCCUAUUACAGGGAGGGAGAAAUAGUUGGGAAUAAUAAUCCCAUCUACCACCUGAAGGGGAAUGAAAUGAUCAGAAAUAGAACAUAAAAAUACAAAUAAAUGAAAGUAGCAGAUAUAAACAGGCUGGUAACUUUUGUAUCCAGUUUGGUGCCUCCUCUGUGAAAUGGAAGGAUUAAAAGAAAAGAUGUUUGGAAAGCAUCAUGCACAUUGCAUUAUAUUAUGAGUAAUAUUAAUAAAUAGGCUGCCAGAAAAUGCUAGUUCCCUCUGAAGAUAUAAUUUUGCCAUGGUACUGAAAGUGCUAGUUUGGUGUAGCUGUUUGGAUGGAACUUGACUUUUCUUAGGUUUUUAACAUAAAGAUAUACAAUUCUGUGGAUUCUUUAGUAAUCAUUAAGGAAAAAAUUGGGUGAAUUUGUGGAUUAGUCCUUUUAAAUCCUUUAAAAAAGUUCAUAGUUAUUGGGGAGCUAAUUUAAAAUUCCUGACCCCACAUCCCAAGGUGAUGGUGUAAGGCAGGGGUCCUCAAACUUUUUAAAUAGGGGGCCAGUUCACUGUCCCUCAGACCAUUGGAGGG